rnacentral:misc_RNA from 1 species
GGCGAACUCAUUGGGCAGCCGAAGAGAAAAUGAUGUACAAUAAACAAACUAAAGAUCCAGCAACUACUCUACCCAACCCAAAUAGAAGGCUCAAGCCCAAAAAUUGCACGAAAAGCGUUUGUAAGUCCAAUAAGAGCUAUAUAGUAAGUCCAAAACGAAAAAGCUAAAAAGAACAGAACAGCAAGGAAAGUAAUAGAGACUAGGUUUAAAACAUGGCAUAAAGCGUUGCAAGAAGGUGAGAACCAAAAUAAAGAUGGCACCAAUGAGGGAGAUGAUUGCCCAUGGACUGUUAAAGUAAUCUCGCGACAAUUUUGCUCGCCAUCGAGGCCAACGAGAUUGGUAAUGAGUAACAAUUCGUUCUGAAAUCUUUGUAUAAGGAGAACGUGUCAAAUGAGCGUCAUUGUAAAGCCUGUUGAAGAAAGCAGACACGUCCUCCGUGCUCAAGUAACAAAUUAUAAUUCCCUUUUGGCGUAGAUACUCAAGGUCCUCACUUGAGUUUAUGAGAUUGUCUAAAAAUGCAGCAUAUGCUAUAACUCCAUCAUUCAGACUUCUGUCGCACUGCUCGUAUGCAAUUAGGUUGCGAAAGAAAGAUUCUGCAUUGUCUAAAAUUACUAAUGGAGGGAUUGUCAAUAUUCCAUUUUCGAAUGUUAUCUUCAUUAAGCUGGUCUUUUCUCCUACUGCAAAGUCAACUCCAGCUUGCAGAAGCUCUGUCACACAUGGAAUUGGCAAGAAACCUUUUUCUUGAGGAUCUUCACUUCCACGGAGUAUGAUGUUCCUUAGCAAGUCUAGCAAAUGCUUGUUUUGGAGUCUCUGGUUAACUUCAAUCAUUUCUGUCUUGAAAGCAUUCCAAUGGAAGUAAUCGUAAGCAAGCUGCGAAAGGGGACGCCUUUCCUCAUCAUGACUGGUCUCGGUGAGGUUGAACAAGCAUUCCAAGACAAACCAAGGAAGCUGAUUCUCAAGUAACAAGAAGUCGGUCACUAGAACUUUUCGCACCCAAGGCAUUUUAAACAAAGGGUCAUCCAUACUUUUUGGCACUAUAUUGGCAUUUCUACGAAAAAACUCUAUAAUAAAGCAGCCAUCGAUGACCAUAAUCUCCACAAAUUCAUCAUUGGUCAAUUUCAGUACUUCUUCUCCAUAGCAUUCCAGGCAACUUUUUACAUUUGCUCUAAUGGAUUUGAUGAAACAUUCCAAACUUGUCUCAGGAGUUGGUGCUCGAGCAAUAAGACAAUCCAAGUACCAGAGCUUGAUCUUUUCAGUAAAUUGGAACUUCUGUAUAUCUCGAUGGUAUGGACCGAUUGAAAUAAAUGUUGGCUCGAAAAGCUGCUCAUUAUGUUUCCUAAGUGUAUUGGGAACUCUAAAUAUGCAGCAACCUGCAGAAACCGGAGAGUUCUGAACCAAUUUCCUUCGGAUUGAAGAUGCUAAAACUUGGUCAACGUCAAUAUUGAUCUGCUUCUCCAUCAUUGGCUAGGCAGUAUCCAAAUCUACAACUAGUAAUGAAAAACUUAAGUAUUGAAGAGCAUAGAAAACAUCAACAUGAUAAGAUAUACAAUGGUUUACAGAAGUCUACAGACAAAUUACCUGGUCUGAUCGAGACGAGUAGUCUUAGUAGGAGAGAAAUGGAUAUCAGGCUGCUGUGCUGUAAACAGAUAGCAUAUCCCAAGAACUUUAUGAUUUGAUCUGCGUGUAUUAUUGGAUGAGAAAUUGCUUCCCUUCGCCAGAGUCAAAUGUAGAUAGCAUAUAAUAUAACGAAUAUCAUUCCACAACUUUGAUGCUUUAAAAAAAUAUGCUUAUAUCAAAAUC